UUUACUGUGCCGAACAAGAGAGAAAAAAAUGAAAACGAUCCAGCGAUGAAAACCCUAGAGUAUUGUUUCCCCAAAUCCCGCCGACGCACGCUCUCCCUCCCGUGCUCGUCCUCCCUCCUCUCCACCUCCACGCCCAUGCUUCCCCACAUCCCUCCUCUCUUCCACCUCCUUCCCGGAUCUCCACCAUAAUCCCCACCAGCGCCACCCACUCGUCUCCUCCUCUCUUCUACCUUUAUCCCCCUUCCUGAUCUCUAUAUCUGCGGCGACGCGGGGGAAGCGGCAGUGACGGAGACGCUCCGGUGGCGGCGCGGGAGCGGCUUAUCCGGGCCCUAGUCUGGGGGUUCAGUUCCAAGGCACCGAUGGUUUUCUUCGUCUACGAUGCCGGGGCGGAGCUGGCGUUCCAGUCCACAACUAUUCCAGCCGCCGAACGCUCGGCGAUGGGGCGAGGUGGUGGAAGCAUUGGUGAUGGAAGCUGACCGUGCGGGGUGGUGGAGCAGCGGCCGCUCGCCGGGGCACUGUCGAGCAGGAGCACUGCCAUGGUGCCGCCUUUUCUCGUUGCUGAGGAUGUUUAUUAAUAGGUUUGAGACAUCAAGAUAAAGUUUCUUUCGGGCCUUAAGCAAGACAAUGAGGACAAGUCUACGUAGACAGAGCUUGUCGCUUCUCUUAAGGUAACAACGAUGACUUCCCUUCAUUAAUUAUUUUAUAAUUCUAUAAUUUCAGAUACAAUCAGAAAGCACCUCACUGUUAACUAACGUAAUCUCCAUUAGCUUAUUUUAUUUUAUGAAAUGAAUCGCCACAACUUUCUUAAUAUUUCCUGAAUUCUGUAUUGCAUUUAGUUAGAUUUAGAGUGAUUUGUUCUGCUCUUAAAAAGAAGAGGCAUUCAAACAACUAUACGUAUUUCAGUUGGAAUGAUUCUCUGUGCAAACAUUGAUGUUUAGAUAGUAUACUUCACUGCAUCUAAAUAUCAUUCUUUUGUUUGAAAUUCGGAUGCUACACCAAGGUGAUAGAAUCACAUACCCAUUCAUAUUCCUGAAAACUAAAAAGUGCGUGCGCACUAUUUGGACAUCUCGAGCGGCCGCUCUGUCACACACAUGUAUGUGUAUUUUUUUUUGUCUCGUAGUGCAUGUUGGUGCUGGCAUUAAAUGUGUUCAUACUAGUCCCAUUAAUUAGAGCAAACAGAUCCACGUAUUUUUAUUUCGGGAUUUCAAAUUCUUUUAAAGCUGUAUCUUUUAAACCACACUUCAGAAUUCAGUCCUGUUUUCACCGUUGGAUUCAUCGCAACGAGAUCUUUGAAACUCGAUCCCGCAUGGAUAUGUUUCGACGAAAUUUUUUUGAUGCCAAUUUUAGUGCUAUGUUGUGCAACUAAAAUACUGCAUUGUGCAACUUUAGCACUACAUGGUGCAACUUUUUUUAAAAUCAGUUGGCUUGUAAUUUAUUCUAAUUGUACAUACAUUGAUGUUUUAGUUGGCUUAUAAUAUAGUCUAGUUGCACACACAUUAAUGUUUAGUUGCCAGAAGGACUAGUUGCACACACAUAUGCUCAGUUGGCUUGUAAUUUAGUCUAAUUGCACACAUAUUGAUGUUUAGUUGGCAGGACACUAGUUGCACACACAUAUGCGUAAUUGACGCCGCAAUGCAGUCUAGUUGCACAUACAUUGAUAUUUAGUUAACAGUACUAGUUACACACAUAUAUGCUCAAUUGGCGCGGCAAUGUAGUCUAGUUGCACACACAUUGAUGUUUGGUUGGCAGGACUAUUGACACACACAUAUACUUAGUUGGCAAGGGAAUGUAGUCUAGUUGCACACACAUUGAUAUUUAGUUGACAGAAAGACUAUUGGCACACACAUAUGCUCAGUUGGCACGGCAUGUAGUCUAGUUGCACACAUAUUGAUGUUUAAUUGGCAGGAAGACUAGUUCGUCGAAACAUACCCAUGCGGGAUCUAGUUUUGAAGAGCAUGUCGCGAAGAUUCCAACUGUGAAAACAGAUCGCAAUUCUGAUGUGCAGAUUAAAAGUUAUGUCUUUUCAAAAUUCUGAAACCACAAAUAAAUGCAUAGGAGAAUAAAGUGCAUGCACCAAAAGAUAUGGCUGUGUUGCUAUUUAAUAUGUUACAGAAAAAUGGAUUAGACGAGAAAGAUUUUCUAAUUAGAAGAAGGGACAAAAAAAUUUCUUAAAUAACCGGCCGCUCGUUAAUCAUACUGGACGGCUGGGCGCCGGCUAGACGCGUCCUUUCAUAUUAGGUAUCUCAGAACUCACACAACAAGUUCCGCUAUUGCUGUUGUCACUCCGGCUGAUGGAGAGAAAAUUGGAUGAGCUCUUCCUUUGGAUCAUCUCCUUAUAUUGGUUAGUGAAAAGUUGUUCCUAUUGUCGCUGCUCACCUUGCUGCUGCUCCCAUGGAUAUGGAGCUCGGGGGAGAGGGUGCGCCGCUGCUUCCCAUCUACCUUGCCUGAUCCCGACCGUCGAUGCAUGACACCCCGUCCUCGCCUCCGCUGGAUACAGGGAUUCGUCCGUGUCCUCAUGACCCUUGCACGGAGGCCAAUAUGGAGAGCCCCACGAAGACCAUGACCACAUGCACAAAUGGGGAGGGGGGUUGCCCUUGAUGAUUCAAAUCAAGAGCACCACCACCAUCACCACAACAAGAUCCAGCGCCUGCUACCGGAGGAACUUGCCGAGGAGGCAGAUCGCUUGGCGUUGGUUCCGUCGAUCUGGAAGGUUAUAUAUUUUCCUGCACAUUUGCUUCGUUUGACUAUAGAGAUAGAUGUAAGAUGCUCCAAACAAAGCAAUACCCUUUAACUGCGAUACAAUGCUUUUUAUAUCACAAAUAAAUUUUAGGACAAUACCUUCUAACUACAUAAGCUAUUUUCCCAGUUACACUCCAUGGAAAUUAUGGUGUGUGUGUGUGUGCGUGCGUGCGUGCGUGCCUGCGUGCGUGUGCGUGUGUGUGCGUGUGUGCGUGUGUGCGUGUGUGUGCGUGUGGGUGUGUGGGUGUGGGUGUGUGCGUGUGUGCGUGUGUGUGUGUGUGAUAUGCAGAGAGCAAUUUAAGUAGCUUGCUGCAGAUGUUGUUCGGUUGGGAAACCUAUGCAGAUAUUCGAAAUGGUACAACUUGAAUCAGCAUUUCUCAAGGUUGAAGUCUGAACCCACACAUCAGAAAUACUCUAAAGAAGCAGCAGCAUCCAGUCUGGAUUGAGUGAGGGAGGAAAAUCAGAUCACAAAGAGGUGAGAAGAUGGUUCUACAAUGCUCGACCAGAUAGCACCGACCUGGACAGUGAGGCCAUUCAUGGAACAUUUAGAUUAUGUCAAGAAGGUUGGUAAACAGGCAGGAACUUAUUUGCACCGAUGCCAUUCCUCGCAAGAAGUUCUAAUUAGUAUUCACCAGGCUAUGAGACCAAGCUACGCCUCCCCUGAGUAAGCAUAUCAAAGCUUGUCUAGGACAUUGAGGCAAGUUCUCUACCCGGUGAAAAUGCUAAAAGAUCAUUUCUGUCGCUAGAGCUCAUCGACACGUCUCAAGACGAUGUUGAUGUUGUUAUCUGCACCAGCGACAACGACGGUGAGCACACAGCCCACAUCAAACAACCUACAUGCGCUACAUAUGUCUCGCAACAACCAGCAGCCUAGCACCCAAGCCUCUCCUUCCGGCUUUUGCCCUAAAGGAUCUAAAAUCUUGGCAAGAAACCAAAAUCGGAUCAUCAUCUCCGCUACAUCAUUUGUGGUGACAAGGUGAAGCUCUAUCAACAGCAUGUUGACAAGCUAGAGCACCUCAUACAUGCUAAAGAACCCAUCAUACCAUAGUACAUCUGCCUCAUGAAUAAGACAUUUGCAAGACAGGAUGAGUGGAUGGUGACUAUCUCCUCACAUUAUCUUUCCAUUGGACAUAAAAUAACACCCUGCUGAACUUCAUAAUCAUAUCUUUCUCCAAUCUGCAGUUGUUCUCCAUUAGUUUCACCAAUGAGCACCUCCUAGAGUGCAUUGGAUCAGAUCUGGAUGACCUGUCAAUCAAGUUUAGAAGCAGGAGCAUUCACAACAUCGCUCACAUUAUCACAACAACUGAUGGCAGGCGAUGAUUGCCACAAACUAGACAGAUUUUUCACGACGCUAACAGGACGGCAAAUCAUCUUAUGUUUACAAGGUUGCACCAUCACAUGAUGAUUGUUACAGUCAAAUUUCCAGACCUUUACAAACUAGCGCACUGCUCUCUAAUGAUGGAUAAAUCUCCCGCCUCCUUGUAUAGCUUGUCUAUCAAAGGACAUGUAUCCAUAUACAUCCGUGUCAAUUCACGCCGUCAUACUAUACUUUUGGACCAACAAAGCCUAACCCAAAAAAUAAAAAAGACAGUGGAAGGGGCGCAUCUCAUCUGGCACCGCCCCAACCAUUAUUAGAAGAAAGGGUCUGGAAGGGUCACUUGUUAAUCUGGCACCGCACAACAAACAAUCAGGCGGGAUAUCAAGGUAUUGUGUAACUUUAUAUGUAGUAAUCUGGAUAGUUUAAAUUUAUUAGAGCAUAAAUAUAUUAAUAAUUAAUCUAUAGUACUUUAUAUUGUUAUAGUUGUUUAUAAAUAUAUUAACAUUACUUCAUAUAUAAUAUUGAUGUUCAAGAAUAAUUAGUUGGGAAAAACAGACAAAUAACUAUUAGUAAUUCUCUAUUGCCAUAACAUCAUAAUUAUGGCAGUUAGCAUAGUAACUUUGACACUUUUUAGAUACGCACCAACCUUUCAAUUUACUCAAUCACAUCAGCAUAUUGUGUUUGAAGUUUGCUUAUAUGAAAACAGGUGUUGAAUUUCCUUGUUGCGUUUUCUUUUGAUUUAUCAUCUGUCAGAUUUUUAUCUUUUUGAUAUUUGCAUGGGAUGGAUUUGAACUUCAUUCUUGCUAAAAGCCUCUAUGCAAGUUUGUUCGAGAUACUUGUAGAACAAAUCAACAAGUCCCUUUUAGUUGGCAAGCGACGAGUUGGGAGGUCAAUCAGUUUCCCCCUGCAUCUGCAAAGGGAUGCGAUGGAUUUGCUCUCAGCGCCGCCUCCAUCCCUGAACCAUCUUUGUCACAUGCAACAGCCGACUUAUCUUGGUGCGGCGGGAGUGAUUGUUUAAGGAGAUUGAGGCUCGGGGUGACGAGGCACAGAAGCAACACGAUGACGACGCAAAGAAGUCACAAGUCGGUGGCUCCCACGGCUUUGCGUUGGCCGCCACAUUGAUCGGUGUUCUGUUUUUUUUUGGUUUUUUGUUUUUAUUAUGACAAGUGUCCUGUUUUUUUGGUAAAUUGCCUUGAACGACGGAAGCUUGAUGGAUGUCCACGAACAUAGCUGUUUGCUGAUCCACUUUGGAGAUGCCCUAAUUUUAUUGUAUUUGAGUA